GAUGAACGCUGGCGGCGUGCUUAACACAUGCAAGUCGAACGAGAAGUGGAGACGGAAACCUUCGGGCGGAAGACUUUAUUUCGAGUGGCGGACGGGUGAGUAACGCGUGGGUAACCUACCUCAUACAGGGGGAUAACAGUUGGAAACGACUGUUAAUACCGCAUAGACCACAGCACCGCAUGGUGCGGGGGUAAAAACUCCGGUGGUAUGAGAUGGACCCGCGUUCGAUUAGCCAGUUGGCGGGGUAACGGCCCACCAAAGCGACGAUCGAUAGCCGAUCUGAGAGGAUGACCGGCCACAUUGGGACUGAGACACGGCCCAAACUCCUACGGGAGGCAGCAGUGGGGAAUAUUGCACAAUGGGGGAAACCCUGAUGCAGCGACGCCGCGUGAGUGAAGAAGUAUUUCGGUAUGUAAAGCUCUAUCAGCAGGGUAGAAAAUGACGGUACCUGAGUAAGAAGCCCCGGCUAACUACGUG
rnacentral:rRNA from 1 species